UUAUUUAAUUUAAAGGUUAUUAUUAAAAAUAUUUUUCAUAAGAAAUUACAUUGCAACCUUUAAGUUGAAUUAUUGUUAUUAUAUUAUAAGAUUUUUUAAGGAAAUUCAGUGAUUAUAAAAAGACAAAAUCCAAUUGUGUAUAACACAAUAAUAUAAAUUAUCAAUAUUUCAAUUAUUAUGUUCAUUUUAUCAUUAUUCUGUGUUAACAUAAUUAAAAAAAGAUAAAAAGUAAUAAAAUUGUAUUAAACUUUGAAUGUAAUUUUUAAAUGUAAUGUUUUUAUUAUUAUUUUUAUAAAUGAAUUCAAUUAAAACUAAUUAAUUUUAUUAAAAUAUUUUAGGAAUUAUAAGUGAUGUCAAAAUUUACAACAUAAAAACUGUAACCACAAACGUCUGUAUUUUAUCAAUUAGCAACUAAUUGUGAAAACAAUUUAUAAUAAUAGACGUAAUGGUGUUUGCUCUUUGUGAUUUAAACCGAAUAAUAUACAUCCUGCUAUAAUUUGUACAUCAUUGUGUGAACAAGCAAAAUGUUUGUUCACAUAUUCUAUUAUAAAGGUAAAUAAGCGUAAUGCCGAGCAAUUUCUCGACAGAUACACAACUGUUGAUUAACAUUCAUUAAAUUUCAUUAAACACAUUGUCAGUAUUACACUUUUCAUACAAUUACAUAUUAGUUGCGCCAUGCAAUGCAAAUUAUCAUCACGAGUAAUAUUACGAAUUAGUAUAAUAUAUUCGUUUUAUUUAUAUAUAUUUAUAUAAGCUAGUCAUAGUUCUAAAGAUAAAAAAGAUAAUAAAAAAAGUGAAUAGCAGGCUUUAGGAAAAAUAGAUUUGAUUAAUUUCAACGUUCAAGAUAGCAUAAUUAGUUUGGGUGACCCUGACUUCCUGAUACCAUACUGCAUGAUAUUAAACAAAAUGUUGCGUAAAAAUAUUAAUAAAUAAGUACAGUACCUAGAUUUAACGAAAUAAAUAAAUGAAAAAGAUUUUAUUUUUCUUUUACACAAAGUCACAAAAAUUUUACUACUUUUAUACUGUAUAUAGAAUUAUUUUUAUUUUGAUUAAAUGAUAUAGGUGUUUCUUUAUGUAUUAUAUAUAUGUGAAAGUUAUUCUUAAAUAAAAAUUUAAGUAUCACUGGACUAAAUUAAAACUGCUAAUAAUGCUUACCUUAACUUUAUUAUCAUAAUUUAGAAAAAAAACAAUGUAUGAAAUGUGUUACCCAAUUCAAAAGUUUGAAUGUUAUUAAAUAAUAAAUUAUCAUUUAUCGUAUGCAAGCACCUUUUUAGCUAUUUUAGCGUUUAAAGUUUCAAGUGUAGAUAUAAAAAAAUUAUUAAUUAAAAUUAUGACCAUUAUAAUUAAAUUUAUCUCGCUUUUAGACUAGGUUAAUGUACCUAUAGAUUUAUAGAACGAUUGUCAGACCAAAUGAAUGGCCUAUAGGUAUUAAGUGAAAUGGUGCUAUACUCCCUUAGAUUUUGAUCUCAUAUCAGCAUGUGAGUGUGUACUUGUUGCUAAUAUGUAUUGCGUUAUUUACUCCAACUAUCGUUAUUGGUUGUGUUACAUAAUGUUAAAAAAAUAUUCAUAGUACUUAUAAAGAAAUAAAUAUCUGUUUAAAUUAA